rnacentral:lncRNA from 1 species
UUAAAAAGUCUUGCCACAAAUGUGUAAUUAGACCAAGGAAAUAAAAAGUGGCUUUAACUAGCUUACGGUAAACAAAAAGAGACUAUGACUGAUUAACCAUAAUCAUACUGAAACUGAUGGCUUUACAUCUUUCACUUGUGAUAUGCUUUUGUGUUCCUUUGUUAGUUUGCUGAGGAUAAUGGCCUCCAGUUCCAUCCAUGUUCCUGCAAAGAACAUGAUCUCCUUCUUG